GACGAACGCUGGCGGCGUGCUUAACACAUGCAAGUCGAACGGCAACGCCCUACUUUUUUGGGGUGCUCGAGUGGCGAACGGGUGAGUAACACGUGAGUAACCUGCUCUGGAUUUUGGUAUGACUUCACGAAACUGGGCCUACUACCGUAUAGGAUCUCCUGUUGCAUGGUGGGGGUUGGAAAUUUUAGGCUGUUGCGGCUGGACUCGCGGCUUAUCAGCUUGUUGGUUGGGUAGUGGCUUACCAAGGCUUUGACGGGUAUCCGGCCUGAGAGGGUGACCGGCCACAUUGGGACUGAGAGACGGCACAGACUGCUAUGUGAGGCAGCAGUGGGGAAUAUUGCACAACGGGAGGAAGCCUGAUGCAGAAACGCCGCGUGCGGGAAGACGGCCUUCGGGUUGUAAAACGCUUUAGCAUGUGACGAAGCGUGACUGACGGUAAUCGGUAAAGAAGCACCGGCUAACUACGUG
rnacentral:rRNA from 1 species